AUCCUGGCUCAGGAUGAACGCUGGCGGUCUGCUUAACACANGCAAGUCGAACGGAACUCUUCGGAGUUUAGUGGCGGACGGGUGAGUAACGCGUGAGAAUCUGCCUUUCAGGUUGGGGACAACAGUUGGAAACGACUGCUAAUACCCAAUGUGCCGCGAGGUGAAAGCUUUAGUGCCUGAAGAUGAGCUCGCGUCUGAUUAGCUAGUUGGUGAGGUAAUGGCUUACCAAGGCGACGAUCAGUAGCUGGUCUGAGAGGAUGAUCAGCCACACUGGGACUGAGACACGGCCCAGACUCCUACGGGAGGCAGCAGUGGGGAAUUUUCCGCAAUGGGCGCAAGCCUGACGGAGCAAGACCGCGUGAGGGAGGAAGGCUCUUGGGUUGUAAACCUCUUUUCUCAGGGAAGAACAAAAUGACGGUACCUGAGGAAUAAGCAUCGGCUAACUCCGUGCCAGCAGCCGCGGUAAUACGGAGGAUGCAAGCGUUAUCCGGAAUGAUUGGGCGUAAAGCGUCCGCAGGUGGCUAUGUAAGUCUGCUGUUAAAGCGUCUAGCUCAACUAGAUAAGAGCAGUGGAAACUACAAGGCUAGAGUGCGUUCGGGGCAGAGGGAAUUCCUGGUGUAACGGUGAAAUGCGUAGGGAUCAGGAAGAACACCGGUGGCGAAGGCGCUCUGCUAGGCCGCAACUGACACUGAGGGACGAAAGCUAGGGGAGCGAAUGGGAUUAGAUACCCCAGUAGUCCUAGC
rnacentral:rRNA from 1 species